UACGGGGGGGGUAAGCGUUGUUCGGAAUUACUGGGCGUAAAGGGCUCGUAGGCGGCCAACUAAGUCAUACGUGAAAUCCCUCGGCUUAACCGGGGAACUGCGUCUGAUACUGGAUGGCUUGAGUUCGGGAGAGGGAUGCGGAAUUCCAGGUGUAGCGGUGAAAUGCGUAGAUAUCUGGAGGAACACCGGUGGCGAAGGCGGCAUCCUGGACCGAUACUGACGCUGAGGAGCGAAAGCGUGGGGAGCAAACAGG
rnacentral:rRNA from 1 species